CCCUGAGGGUGACGUCACGGACCGAGAGGCACCUUCAGCGGGGAUGGAAUCCCGGGCAGAGGGGCCGGCCGGGACUUGCGGCUGCCGCCGCGGAGAGGGGCCGCGCUGAGCCGAUGAUGAGCGCGCAGCCGCCUCUGCGCAGCGUGCUUGGGGAAAGAGCCCGGCCGCUUGCAUUGGUGUGCGGGGGCUAGGAGAUUCCGUGGAGCAGGGGGGAGCUGCCCACGCGUGGAGGGGGAACACGGGGUGUUUACGACGGACCAGUUCCCGGGACCUGCCCACUCGAGGGGGGUGGAAGGAAAGAUUUGCGGUAGCUACCCACGAGGAGACGUGGGGGGAGCAAUCCCGGGGAGCUGCCCCCCAGGUUGGGGGGCGAUUCCGGGAGCUACUCAGGGGUUGGGGGACCCCGAGGAAUUGCUCAGGACUGGGAGCUUCAGGUAAGAGCAGCACUGGACCUUUAAUGGAGAAAAUAUAUACAAGGGAUUUAGAUUCAGAUCCUCAAAGGCAAUCAGUGAGAGGUAAAGGUGGAAUGGAAGAGAGAAUGAAUGGAUUUUUACCCUAUCAAAAUGAAAUAAAGAAUGUGGAUGAUCUUUUUUGGUCAAAAAUGAUAGAGGGAGGACAAAAACAAUUUUUCAUACAAAAAUUUCUUUUUUGUUGAAAGCCCAUUU